UACGUAGGGACCGAGCGUUGUCCGGAUUCAUUGGGCGUAAAGAGCUCGUAGGCGGCUGCUCAAGUCGAAUGUGAAACCUCGAGGCUUAACCUCGAGCCUGCAUUCGAUACUGGGCGGCUAGAGUCUGGUAGGGGGAUCUGGAAUUCCUGGUGUAGCGGUGAAAUGCGCAGAUAUCAGGAGGAACACCGGUGGCGAAGGCGGAUCUCUGGCCUUGCCUGACGCUGGAGGCGCGAAAGCUAGGGGAGCGAACAGG
rnacentral:rRNA from 1 species